UACGUAGGGGGCAAGCGUUGUCCGGAUUUAUUGGGCGUAAAGCGCUCGCAGGUGGUUCGAUGCGUCGUGCGUGAAAGACCCCGGCUCAACUGGGGAGGGUCGUGCGAUACGGUCGAACUGGAGGCCAGUAGGGGGAUGCGGAAUUCCGGGUGUAGAGGUGGAAUGCGUAGAGAUCCGGAGGAACACCAGCGGCGAAGGCGGCAUCCUGGACUGGUCCUGACACUCAGGAGCGAAAGCGUGGGGAGCGAUCCGG
rnacentral:rRNA from 1 species